UACGUAGGGUGCGAGCGUUGUCCGGAAUUAUUGGGCGUAAAGGGCUCGUAGGCGGUUUGUCGCGUCGGGAGUGAAAACCCGGGGCUCAACUCCGGGCCUGCAGCCGAUACGGGCAGACUAGAGUUCGGCAGGGGAGACUGGAAUUCCUGGUGUAGCGGUGAAAUGCGCAGAUAUCAGGAGGAACACCGGUGGCGAAGGCGGGUCUCUGGGCCGAUACUGACGCUGAGGAGCGAAAGCGUGGGGAGCGAACAGG
rnacentral:rRNA from 1 species